rnacentral:rRNA from 1 species
UACGUAGGGUGCAAGCGUUGUCCGGAAUUAUUGGGCGUAAAGAGCUCGUAGGCGGUUUGUUGCGUCGGCUGUGAAAUCCCGAGGCUCAACCUCGGGUCUGCAGUCAUACGAGCAAACUAGAGUGUUUGCAGGGGAGACUGGAAUUCCUGGUGUAGCGGUGAAAUGCGCAGAUAUCAGGAGGAACACCGGUGGCGAAGGCGGGUCUCUGGGCCGAUACUGACGCU